rnacentral:miRNA from 1 species
UAAGAGGGGGGCCUGCACGCCGAG